GGGCGCUUGGUCUAGGGGUAUGAUUUUCGCUUCGCAUGCCGUCAUCACGGAAUACGAUGUGAAAGGUCGUGGGUUCAAUUCCCACAGUGUCCA
rfam:Colletotrichum sublineola strain TX430BB Scaffolds1530.1, whole genome shotgun sequence.